rnacentral:tRNA from 1 species
UGUUCUGUGGCUUAGCUGGAUAAAGCGCCAGUCUAGCGAAUACGGAGUCGUGGGUUCGACUCCCACCAGAACAU